rnacentral:piRNA from 1 species
GCUCAUACUUGGUGUUGUACUGAUUGAGGU